CUCGUGAUCCACCUACCUCGGCCUCCCAAAGUGCUGGAAUUACAGGCGUGAGCCACCGUGCCUGGCCCCUUGGUAACAUAUAUCACAUCUUUAUCUUUGGUUACUUAUAUCACACCUACUAUGAGAUCACAAUCUCUUUCAGUAUAAGACCCACUCCCCAACCCACACUAAGUAGAAUGCCUUGAAUACUAUUGGGCGCUAAAAUAUUUGAAGGUAGAAAAGUGACAAAAGGAAAGAGAAGGAGACUUAAGGCCUGGAGGUGCUGCAGCCAUCUUAUAACCAUUAAGGGGCAGCCUGUUCUAAGAAGCCAAAAUAAUAGAAAAGAACAGAGACUGGCGAGAAGAAGAGAAGCAGGGACAUGAAGUGACAGUUUGAAACGUUGCAUCCUGACACAUCUGAAGACAUCCCUCAUGUGCAGACUUUUCAGUAAUGUAAAGUGGAAAGUGGGCAAGGCCAAGGUCAUGCUACAGAAUGUGACUGAGCAACAGGGGGAUCACUUCAGCUGGGAUGGGAAAGGAAAGCCUCCAGGAGGAGUUGACAUCGAAUCACAGUUGAAUCCUAAGAAGUCAGUCUUGCAAAGAUCUAGGAAAGAAACAGCUAAGUUUCUAAGGUAAGAAUAUACAAUUCAAACAAAUUUACAAUAGGUUAAGUAAAGUAUACUACUUAUAAAUGUCAAGUAAAAUAUCACAAUUUGCUUAAGGUGUGUGUGUAUAUAUAUACACAUGCGUAUGUGUAUAUUAUACAUAUAUACACAUAUAUACGUGUAUAUAUGU
rnacentral:lncRNA from 1 species